CAGUCGCCACGGUAAUACGAAGGGGGCUAGCGUUGCUCGGAAUUACUGGGCGUAAAGGGCGCGUAGGCGGAUAGUUAAGUCAGAGGUGAAAGCCCAGGGCUCAACCUUGGAACUGCCUUUGAUACUGGCUAUCUUGAGUUCGGGAGAGGUGUGUGGAACUCCGAGUGUAGAGGUGAAAUUCGUAGAUAUUCGGAAGAACACCAGUGGCGAAGGCGACACACUGGCCCGAUACUGACGCUGAGGCGCGAAAGCGUGGGGAGCAAACAGGAUUAGAUACCCGUGUAGUCCCUGUCUCUUAUAC
rnacentral:rRNA from 1 species